rnacentral:rRNA from 1 species
CAGCAGCCGCGGUAAUACGGAGGGUGCAAGCGUUAAUCGGAAUUACUGGGCGUAAAGCGCACGCAGGCGGUCUGACAAGUCAGAUGUGAAAUCCCCGGGCUUAACCUGGGAACUGCAUUUGAAACUGUCAGGCUGGAGUCUUGUAGAGGGGGGUGGAAUUCCAGGUGUAGCGGUGAAAUGCGUAGAGAUCUGGAGGAAUACCGGUGGCGAAGGCGGCCCCCUGGACAAAGACUGACGCUCAGGUGCGAAAGCGUGGGGAGCAAACAGGAUUAGAUACCCGGGUAGUCCCUGUCUCUUAUAU